rnacentral:rRNA from 1 species
UACGAGGGGGGCAAGCGUGUUCGGAAUUAUUGGGCGUAAAGGGGUGCGAUAGGCGGCGCGGUAUGUCUCGUUGUGAAAUCUCCAGGCUCAACUUGGAGUCUGCAAGGGAAACUGCCGUGCUUGAGUACUGGAGAGGUGAGUGGAAUUCCCGGUGUAGCGGUGAAAUGCGUAGAUAUCGGGGAGGAACACCUGUGGCGAAAGCGGCUCACUGGACAGUA